UACAGAGGGUGCAAGCGUUAAUCGGAGUUAUUGGGCGUAAAGGGCGCGUAGGUGGAUACUUAAGUCAAUUGUGAAAUACCCGGGCUUAACCUGGGAAUUGCAUUUGAUACUGAGUAUCUAGAGUAUGGGAGAGGAAAGCGGAAUUCCCGGUGUAGCGGUAAAAUGCGUAGAUAUCGGGAAGAACACCAGUGCGAAGGCGGCUUUCUGGACCAAUACUGACACUGAGGCGCGAAAGCGUGGGGAGCAAACA
rnacentral:rRNA from 1 species